UACGGAAGGUGCAAGCAUUAAUCGGAAUUAUUGGGCGUAAAGGGCGCGUAGGCGGCUGGGCAAGUCUGAUGUGAAAUUCCAAAGCUCAACUUUGGAGCUGCAUUAGAAACUGCCUAGCUAGAGGAAUGGCGGAGAAAAUGGAAUUCCACGUGUAGCGGUGAAAUGCGUAGAUAUGUGGAAGAACACCGGUGGCGAAAGCGGUUUUCUAGCUUUUACCUGACGCUGAGGCGCGAGAGCAAGGGGAGCAAACAGG
rnacentral:rRNA from 2 species